AUGAAAUGACCAAAAGCUAAAUGCGCGGCAUCCUGCCGCAUCGCUUUUGUGACCUGCUCAGCAGG
rnacentral:sRNA from 1 species